UCGCUUUGGCAGCGUAUGUACUAAAAUUGGAAUGAUACAGAGAAGAUUAGCAUGGCCCCUGUGCAAGGAUGACACAUACAUUCAUGAAGUGUUCCAUAUUUUG
rnacentral:snRNA from 1 species